rnacentral:rRNA from 1 species
UGAGGGAAUAUUUGGGUCAAUGGACGAGAGUCUGAACCAGCCAAGUAGCGUGCAGGAUGACGGCCCUAUGGGUUGUAAACUGCUUUUAUAAGGGAAUAAAGUGAGCCUCGUGAGGUCUUUUUGCAUGUACCUUAUGAAUAGGGACCGGCUAAUUCCGUGCCAGCAGCCGCGGUAAUACGGAAGGUCCGGGCGCUAUCCGGAUUUAUUGGGUUUAAAGGGAGCGUAGGCCGGAGAUUAAGCGUGUUGUGAAAUGUAGACGCUCAACGUCCGCACUGCAGCGCGAACUGGUUUCCUUGAGUACGCACAAAGUGGCGAAUUCGUGGUGUAGCGGUGAGAUGCUUAGAUAUCGCGAAGAACUCCGAUUGCGAAGGCAGCUCACGGGAGCGCAACUGACGCUGAAGC